GCAUGCCAGCCUGGUGACAGUGAGACUCUGUCUCAAAAACAAAACAAAACAGAAUUGUGUGUGCUCUGCCUACUAAGUGACGUCUCACCUAAGCUCUCCGCACUCCUGUCUUUUCCCUUAUGCACCUUUAUUUCAGCAGCUUCAUUGCUUCUCACCUCAUCUCGCCCAACAGAUUCUCAUCUUCACCCCAGUUCUCCCUCUGUGUGGAACCACUUCUCAACCUCAUUCUGCUUUCCAUUUUUCUGUUGUGGGCUUUUGCCUGGUUUUCAGUUCUGAAAAUCUUUUUCCUGGUUUUCAGUUUUGCUCUUCCUAAGUUGGUGGCUUGCAGAAGUCCCACAGGUUUUAAGGUCCCCUGGCAUGUGGCUCUCCGGGGCUGGCUCCAGCUAGGUAUAAUGCCAAAGAAUCCAAUGUGGGAACAACAAGCUCAACUGAAAGUCCCUGAGGGAGACCAUGGUCAGGGGUGGAAAGCUGAUGUGAUGCAUACACCAGCAGCUAGGAAAGCAGGAGAUUUAAAGAAUAAUCACAAUACAUUAGAGAUGAUUAGAGCCUGGAACAGAAUGUGAAAAAGAUUAGGAUACAGAGGACUGAGGAACAGGGAAAGGAAAAGAAUGGCCAGACAGUUUCAGAAAGAACAGCAUGUGCAAAGGCCUAUAUACCAGAAAGCAGGACACAGUCAAUGCCCUGAAGGAUCAAAGGGGUUUCAUAGAAAAGAUGAGCCCAGGGAGAAUGGCAGGUGCCAGAUCACAUAUGGCUCCAUAAGCUAUGUCGGGGCAUCGGGCUUUAUCUUAAGGACAAUGAAGAGAUAUGAAAAAGUUUAGACAUAGAAUAACAUGAUGAAAUUUGUAUUUUAGGAAUGUUACAUAAGAAAUUUCCAAAUUGGCCUUAAUUCCUUAGGGAACCAUAUUCAGUUACCUUUUUUAAGUGGUCUACUUUCAUACUGGCUUUUAAAUUUUUAUAUCAUAUAGUCUGUGGGAAAAGAUUAUAAAUAAAUAUUUGUAUAGUAUCUGAUAUAUAAGAAUUUGUUCCCAGAGUUUGUGGCAAUAGUGUGGACACUGGCUCAGACACAAGUAUGUGGAAUCCAUUUCAAUAAGUAUUAUUUAAAAUAUUAAAAGUGCUUUUUCUGAAAAAAAGUCAAUGCAAAAUCAUUUUUAAAUGUUUACAUAUACACCUAAAUCUCCAAACUGCUGGUAGUAAUAUUAAAUGGAAGGUCAAAAGCUAUUUUGCUCCCUUUUUAUUGGACUAUUAUUAAACAGUCAGAAAGCCUAGCAGUUCAUUUAUCAGACAAAAAAAAUGUAUAAAUGUUUGACAAAUAAGCCAUAGCCAAAAUGUUAUGACUUUAUUUGAAUUACAUUAUAUAGACAAAGCAUGCCAAUCCAUCAGCCUCAAGUUACUGCCCUGUUACCUAUGGAAACAGUAAGAUAUUUUCCUCGUUACUUAAUAAUACCAAAUCUCAAAUAAGUAUCACAACAUGAAAAACAGAUGUUAAAAUGUGACACUCAGGGUCAGCUUACACUGCAUACUUGUUCAUUUUUAAGUCCCGGGUUUCUUCUCAAACAUUGUUUCUGAAAUUUUUCACAAGAUUUUGUUGGAUUUGGUUGCAGAGGUUAGAGUCUUAAUACACAUAUGAGACACAAAUAGAAAACUGAUUUGUUAUUAAUCAACACAGCAAUAAAAUGGGAGAUGCUAGUUUUUAUAUCAGAAUGCUUAUUGCUUUGCAUGAAAUAUGAUUUGAUACAAAUGACCAAAAUCAAGAGCACAGUUUCUAUUUUUAUUCCAAAAGCACUUUCAUUUGUAUUCUCCCUUUACUGUGUCAAUCUUAUCAGUUUAUUAAAGACAUAUCUUUCAUUUAAAAUAGAAAAUAACUUUUCAUUAUUGUGCUAUUAUAGAUAAUUUUUAAAAACUAAAAUAUGUGAAUAAAGAAGAAGAGGAGAAUAUACUUCUCAUUAUGUACCAUUUUCAGUAACUACCUCUAAUAUAAAUUUAGUUCCAAAUAUUUUUUUCUAUGUAUUUAUAUCUAUAUAUCUAUAACUAUGUCUAUGGAUAUUUUCUUAGAAAAAAUCCUGGAACCAAACGAUGCAGUGAAGAUCUUCCCAUGCCAAUUACUAUUCAUCUACAGCGUUAUUUGUAAAUAUCAAGGGCAGUGCCCUGACAUAGAUAUGCUAUAAUUUAUUCAACUAAUCACUGAUUUCUGUGCGUUUAAAUUGUUCCCAAUAUUUCAGUUUUAUAAAUAUUGAGACAGCCAAAUGCCUACACAGAUAAAAAGGGGUCCCCAGAGAAUCUCCAACCUUCCCCACAAGUGUUUACAUCAGAAGCUUUUGUGCAAAUGAGGGAACCUGCCCAGGGCUUGUCUGGGCAUGCCCACAGUGGACUGGAGCCCGACAUGUGCCCUGGGGGAAAUGGGUGGGGCCACGGGGAGUUCACGCCUUGUGCACGGGAGGAGCUUGCUGUCUUCAGCUCCUGUGGUGACCUGGGAUUCAAUCUGUGAGUCAGAAAAGCUGCUAGCAGGGCUCUCUCUUGCUUUGGUUCGUUUUCCUUUUUCCCCUUCGCCCAAUAAAUUCCAUUUUCCUCACCCUUCUAUGUGUCCGCGAGCCUAAUCUUUCCUGGUCGUGUGACAAGAGCCUGCUUUUAGCUGAACUAAGGAGAAAGUUCUGCAACAAUAUUAUCGCAGUGAACAAAUAUGUAGCUUAAUCUUUCUAUGUAUUCUUGAUUAUUUCCUCAGCAUACAUUCAAGAAAUAAAUUUUGUGUCAAAAGGGUGCAUAUUUUAAACUUUCUGGUAUAUAACUGCUAAAAUAUUGUAUAAAAUUACAUUCCCAGUAGAGGUGAGCAGAUGACAUUUUUCUAUCAUAUUGGUUUUUUUUUCUAGUUUUCUACUAUACUUUGUUGAUCCCAAAAGGCACAUUUUUCUUUCGCAUUUUAACAUCUUUAAAAUCUAGUUAUAUAUUACAAUUCAUGGUAUAUCACAGUUAGACUAGUGGCAUUUUUUCUUUCUCAUUGAUACUUAUAAUGUUGCAUCAUUCAAUCCAUAUCUGAAAUCUAUAAAAUAUAUUAUCUGCGUUUAUAUACUGUGGUUGUGUUUAGUAGAUACAGAGAAGUUUUAGUAUUUACAUAGUGAGCUGCUUUCUUCAUUGGCUUCAUGUCCAUGAUUUCUCUGAUUUUCUGUGAUAAACGCUUACCUUAGUUUUCUAUUAUUAUAUAUUAAAUUGAAAUAUUUAAUAAAAGUAAUCUCAAAAAUUACUCUUUUCACAAAUGAUUAGCCAAUUACCCUAGUGAUAUUUAUUGAAUAGUUCUUUUGUGCUCACAUAUUUAAAGCUUAUUCUAUUUAAAUAUUACUAAUCCCUUUAAACACAACAAGCAUUUAAUAGAUAACCAUUGAUUCAUUAAUUAAAUUUGUUAAACAGAAGUAGACUUUGGAAUGAGUUAAAGUUUUGAAGUAACUGUUUGGACCUUCUGCAGAGAUGACAGUUGUACAGGUUAAACAUCAAUCAGCCAUUUGGGCUCCCUGACUUAUUACUGCUCAGUCACAUUAUAUGUAAUAGGAUCCAGCAAAUUGAAACCUAGUAUUUCUUCACUGCUGAUGACCACUCUUCUGACCUGAUGGAAUCAGGGAGGAAGGAGGAUUGUGCAGGGCAGGAAAACCUCCCUGCUUCAGUAUUCAACAGAAUUCCACAGGAAUUUACUGGCAGCUCACCAGGGUCAAGCAAUAUGUUAAAGUCAGGAACAUGUUCCCCACCCAGCUCAUCAAUUGAGUUCACAAGUUCCUCUUAUAAUGCCCAAAUCCAGCAAUACACUCACCUACCACUUAAUAAGCGGCUUGUCUGUGCUUAGCACUAAAGACAGGAGAGAAAUAGGAAAAUGUCUCUGACUUCAGAACGCCAGCUAGUGAGGAAGAAAGAUAAGUCAAUAACAAGCGCUACAAAAUGCAAUCCUUACUUUCCUGAUGGAGAGGAGGGUGCAACAGGAGAACAAAGAAGAAAACUAUGGUCCAAGAGGAAACAGGGGAGGGCGAAAAACCACAGGAAAGUGGUAUGUGAAGAAUCACUUGGCUGAUACAGAGUUGGGGGUACAGGGACUGGGAACAGCUUAACAAGCAUAUGGCAGGAGAUGUGAGGGAGGAUGUCAAAAGACAAGUCUGGGAAAACAGAAAAGGAAUCAGAAGAUAGGAAGAGGAGGUGGAAUCCGGACUCAGCAACUGAUUGAAUAUGCAGGUAAAGACAGGGAGAAGUCUGGGAUGAUUCUUCCUUUUGUAGCUUUUAUGUUUGGUAGAUGCUCGUGCCCAUCCACUGAGAUAGAAAACACAUGAGGGGGGGCAAAGGUAAGCUCAGUUUUAGACACAUUGAGCUCUUUUGUUUGUUUGUUUUAUGGAAAAUGAGGGCAACUGAUGGAUGGAGCAUGCUUUGGGUGACAUUCCUUCCAUCCUGUAGUGGAAGACACUGGGUUCCUGAAGGGAGGGAGAUGGGAUUGGAUGCCAGGGAACAGGAGAUGGGACUUUAAGAAGACAGCGGAGGCAGGCUAGAUGUUCUUCUGCAAUUGUAUAGAUGAGGUCACAGCAGCAAAACUUCCCAUCCCACCCCGCAUCAAUACCUUUGCUGUGUUUGCUGCACUGACCAUAACUGCUCAUUCCCUGUUGUGUAACUGAAAUGAAUAGAUCGUUCAAGAAUGCCCUAUCUGUACAAAUUUGGUCUAUUUUAAGAACAAAGGAGAGAGUUUAUUUUUUUUUAUGUUUCAGUGGAAUUAAAAGUGUGAUUUUUAUAAUCCAAGUCACACCCUUACAAUUUUUUUUUUCCAUACACAACCUUAACUCCUGGCAAGUGGAAGGCAGAGAAGCCACAUUCACUCUGUGUACUGACCUGUGAUUUGCCGCUGAGUUUUAGGAACAUGAUAGAACUUCAGUAUGAAUUACAUAUUUCUACAUUUAAACAGGGUCAGAAGUGGCACUACCCAGUGUGGGAGUUUAGACUGAUUAAUUGCCUUCACGGAAGGAGAAAAGUAUGGCUAGGAACUGUGCAAGUAUUAUUGUUUCAUCCACAUAUUAUUUCCAUGUAUUCUCUUGUACAGUUUGACUUGGCUAGCAUGCAAGAAGUUUCUAGCUUUUCCAGGGUAUUACAAUCAGCUUUAAAAAUGUCUAGAGUUAAAUUUGCUUCUGAGAAAAACUAUUUGUGACUUAAUUGAUAAAAGCCAGUGUGAACUCUAUUAUUGAAGACCUAUGCAGUUAUGUAAUAAUUUCCUUAAAUAAUGGAGAAGAUCUUAAAAAAGAAAAACAAAUAAAACCCACACAAGCACAUGGUUUUCAUUUGGGGAGUAAGGGCUGGAGAGAGGCUCUGCUCUGAGGUUAACUUCAUGGCUUCAGGCAAAACUAGGAGAUUUAAACAGAAACUACAGCAGAACCAUAGCUCUCUUUUUAGGGACACUUAAAUAAGUAUAUGACAAAUCUCAGAGAAUCUUUUGAAUUUGGGUGGGGGAUGAGUAGUUAUGUUCCUUUUGUUUCUAUUUUUUUGAUUUGUUUUCUUUUUUUGUUUGUUUUUUUGAGAGAGUCUGGCUCUGUCCCCCAGGCUAGAACGCAGAGGCACAAUCUCUGCUAAAUGCAACCCGCCUCCUGAGUUCAAGCAAUUCUCCUGCCUCAGCCUCCCAAGUAGCUGAGAUUACAGGCGCUCACCAACACACCUGGCUAAUUUUUGUAUUUUUAGUAGAGACAGGGUUUCAUCAUGUUGGGCAGGCUGGUCUCAGGCUCCUAACCUCAAGUGAUCCUCCUGCCUUGGCCUCCCAAAGUGCUGGGAUUACAGGCAUGAGCCACUGCACCCGGCCUUGUUUUGUUUUCAAUGAUUAAUAUUAGCUAAUUAAUGUUCUCAUGGAAACUGACAUAAAGUUUAAAAUGUUUCUUAAUUUAAUAACUUCAGAUGGUUUUCUACAUGGGAAAUGGAAGUUAGAUACCAAAUGAUGUCCCCUAAUGUGGUUAAAAUGCCUCUUUUCCAAAAGGGUUAAGAGAAUAUGGAGAAAAGUUUAUGCAUGAUGUGAUGGGGAGCAUUGGGAGAGGGACAGGAGAGGGUAGGGACUGGAGAGAAACAGAAGGAAUAAUCCAAACAAUUUUCUACACAACUGAUAAUUCCCAGACAAACACUCAAAUUGACCACAGCUAGAUGUGUAAGUGCAGAGAAGGAUUUGCACAUGCUACAGAAUAUGAAGAUGGAAUUACAUCCACCUCUGUUGUGGUUAAGGCCCAAAGGUUAAACACAAAUUUACAGGUGGCUGUGAUUCUAGAAUGCCUUGGUAGGACUUGCAAGGCAGUGGUGAAAACUGGUUUUUAACCCUUAAUUCAACAUCUACCUAAUAGGUAUAAAAUUAUUGGAAUACAGUGGCAUUUCUUGUGAUAACACCCUGACCAUGGAUGUACAAAGGAACUGCUUCUUCCUGCCCUCAAGCUUAAUCAAAGAGGCCUGCAGAAGAUAACCAAGAAAAGAUGGGAGGGUUAUCAUACCUACAGGACUUAGAAGGGGCUAAGGAAAUGCUCGGAGGCCAGGCACAGGAGAGGCACUGUCUGAGCCCAGAGCCCUGCAGGAGGACUUUCUGAGUGGAAGAAGAACAAAACUGCCCUUUCUGGGAGAGGGUCAGCCUGCAGCAGUCUCCACCCCAGAGAAGGUCUACACCAGACUACACAGUGCCAGUCAGGGGAGGCUUCUCCUGUCCUUGCAUCUACUCUGCUGUGUCCCUUUCCUGACAGGUAACUGGGGCCAGGGGUGCAGGACAAGUGAGGAAACGGAACAGAAGCCAACCGCACCCCCUCCUCCUCCCUUCAUUAAAGACCUCUGAAUUGAAGUGGGCCAUUGAUGGAAAAAAAUAGAGGCUUUCAUUCUAAAGUAGUUCAGAGAUUUUGCUAUUCCACCAUGUGAAUGUAAGAAAUACAUUUUAGACAAGUCUUGUGACUGAAAGGGAUGUGGAAGACGUUUUACUAUCAAGUCACUGAAAAAGUUCUGGGAUGGGCCCAAGGUCCAGAGGCAGUAAAAUCUAAAGGUUUCAAAAGAAUAAAAUAAUGGCAGCGCACUCUGAAGUCUGCUCCCUAAGUUUAACUCUAUGGAGAUGUGAGGCCUGCAUGUGCCAAAGGGCCCCCUGUGGCCUCAGGUAAGAGACUCCAUCCUCUUCUGAGGUAUAUUCAGAGGCUGAAUGUUGAAAUGUUGGAUUCGACAUCCCUUUCUGGAAAGAUAGCAAUUAACUGGUAGUUCUAAGAAAUACUUUAAAAGAAACAAAUAUAUUUCCAUUUUAUUUGGCCAGCAUUUCAAGUAAAAGCUGCAUACUCAAGACAAAUUUUAUAUAAUCCUAAACUCUUUUUCUCUACAGAGGCAAUCAGUAGUUUUCCUUCCAUACUGCAUUAUGUUCCAGGAGGUUUGCACAACAUCCCAUAACAAAUUAUGGUGAAAAAUCAACUUUCAUGUGAAACAUAUAAUGUGAGAUAUAUGCUGCUUUCCAGUUCUGCCUGAUGCAACAACACAAUAUGCUUUAUUUGGCUAGAAAAUACAGCUGAAUCUGUUCUUAUAGAAUUACUUGUGGUUAAGAGGAGGUAGGUUAUAUUUUUCUAUCAGAUCUCACCUAUCAACUUCUCUGUUAGCGUUGCUCCUUUAACAAACACCAUUCCUAAAAGUUACAAGAUGAAUGUUUAGUAAUCCAUACAAAUAAUUUGAAUAUUCAGACAUGGAUCUAUCAUUCAUAACCCCUAUUUACCAAGCAAAGAAGCUGCAGUCUACAUACUAUAGAAGGCAACAAAGUCAAAGUCAGUUUCAAGUGCCAGCUGUUAUGGCUGGGCCGCCUUCUAAGUCAGCUAGGCUUGCGGAGCCGCAGUUUCCUCAUCUUUGAUGCGGACCUCACUUCCAGAGCCAUGGGAAGAACUGAAUGAGAGUGAGGAUGUGAACACCUCUGCCACGCUGUUAAGUGCUACCUAAGCGCAGGCCAGUCAUCCAGUCAUCCUGUUCUGUACAUGUCAAGGCAUGAGCCACUCCAGGGAACUCAAAGACCCAUGAGACUGGAUACUGUGCUCAGAGUUUACAAACCUAAAAUCUAGUUGAAGAUACACAGAAACAUUUUAUCAAUGACUUCAAAUAUAAACAGAAUUCACAAAACAGUAUAAAUUCAAUGAGUGACUCCAACAGUUAGUGAUAAGGUUCCAUAGGGAGCAGCGAACUCUGCGGGCAGCAGCGCUGAAGUUUCAAAAGAUGGAGGAAUGGAGGUCUAUGGGGAGGACUGGAUAGGAAAGAGAAAUGGGUAUGGCAGUUUUUAAUACAGAAGUUGCAAACUAACGUCUCCAUUAUCAAAUUUCACAACAAAAUCCUGAUUUCCAGCUUUUCUUUUUCUUUCUUUUUUUUUAGAUAGAGUCUUGCUCUGUCACACAGGCUGGAGUACAGUGGUGGGAUCUCGGCUCACUGCAACCUCUGCCUCAAGUGAUUCUCCUGCUUCAGCCUCCCAAGCAGCUGGGACUACAGGUGUGCGCCACCAUGCCCACCUAAUUUUUGUAUUUUUAGUACAGACAGGGUUUCACCAUAUUGGCCAGGCAGGUCUCGAAUUCCUGACCUUGUGAUCCACCCACCUCAGCGUCCCAAAGUGCUGGGAUUACAGGCAUGGGCCACCGCGCCCAGCCUCCAGCUUUUCUUUUAACACCAGGGGCUGGGUCGGAGUUGCUCUCUGAAGAAAAGUUGUCCUCUCUUGGGCAGCGCAGUGGUCACUUCUCCUGAGUUUCUCACACCCGUUGGCCUUCACUUACUGCUGUUCCCUGCCCAGCCCUGGUAGGCAUUUGAGAUUGCUCAUCUCUGAUUUAGAAGUUUCAUUAACCUUGUUAAACAGUGCUCCAGACCUAAGUGUAUAUCAACCAACUCAGGCAACGACACUGUACUCCCAAUUCCUUCCUUUACCCCAGUCCACUGGCAGCAGCUUAUCCUGUAACACCUUAACGGCUGCAUUUCACACUCUAAACACAGAGAACAUACAGGCAAACCUUGAGUUUAUUUUAGAUGGCAUCUUUUCAAAUAAAAACUCCUCAAGGUAAUUUUCUUAAAUUAAGAUCCCAUGGGAAAAAAUAAAUUAACCAAUAAUAAAACCUCUGAUGAGCCCUGGGGUUGAUCUUUCAGUAAGUGGAUAAUUAUUUGCUGGGCUCUCCACUCAAAUAAAAUUAUCUAGUUGUAGCAUCUCUUUUUUUCCUAGACUAGUUAUUAAUGUGAUUAUAAAGUUUUUCUCAUUUGUUUUUCUUUAGGUAUGAUUUUAGAAAUCUCUCUCUCUCCUGCUUGCACACACACAGACACACACAUCUUUAAAACUACCCUUUUUAUGAAGAUCUAGAGGAGUGAGAAUGAAGGAGGAGGAAGUGGAUGAAAAACUCCAAAGAUAAGUUCUCUGGGGUAAAACAUUAACAGCCUUACCACCCUCAGUGCCCCUUACUCACCAUCUAUAAAACAGAGGCUGGGGUUGUAUCUAUAUUAUUUCCACAAACUGAGAUGGAUCACAAAUAAUUUGUUCCUAAUACUUGUAGAAUAAAAAUUUACAAAUGGCUUCUCAGUAAGUAAAAGCAACUUCAAGGUUGUGUCUGUAGAAAUGUAUCUCCUCUGUGUUGCGUUCUACAGCAUUUUCUAGAAUGAGAGAGAAAGAGGUGGUCCGCCGUAUAGUUAACAUGCAGAGAAUGUUUCAUAACCCAGAGAUAGAUGCAGUCAGUACAGUGAAGACUGGGAAUUUUGAAAAGAGGAGCAAUAUCUAGGAAUUCUUUUUUAGGAAGUUAGCUGGGUGCUGUCCCUAGUUUAUGUACAGCCCUGUCCUUUCCUCAAGAAAAUUUCAGUAAAGAUCUAUGUUGCUUCCAAUGCUGUUUAGGGUAAAAUUUGUGUUUCUUUUGUCUGAGAAUGUCUUCAAGGCAAUCUUCAGUAUGCUAUAACCAGUGGUUCUUGAAGUUGGUUCCUAACCCCUGACUAGCAGCAGCAGCACCUGGGAAUUUAUUGAAAUUAAUCUUUGAGCUUCACCCCAGAUCUGUCAGAAAUUCCGGCAGUGAAGCCCCACAAUAUGUAUGUAGUUUAAGUCACCCUCCAAGUGAUUCUGAAACUGAAGUUUGAGAACUGCGGUUAUCACCUAUAGUGAGUAACCACUACGGAGAAACCAUCUGUAGUAGAGGCUGUUGGUGCCACCCAUUCAGAUCUUCCUGACCAGCCAAUGCACUUGUACUCUGGCUGCUUGGAGGAAUACAGCUGAGGAAACGUUUACACCUGUGUCCUUCUCCAGUUACUUCUCCAUGCUAGGCAGAACAAGGAGAGAUGCCUGGGAAGCCACCUACCCACAACCCUGGGUUGGCAAUGACAUAAGGUUCUUAAGCCUGAACUCCUUGCAGGGCAAUACAGCCCUGUGAGCCUGGGGACCAGACCAAGGCUAGACUUUGCCUAAGACCAUAUCCUUGUAGAUCCUCCUCCUUUUCUAUCUUGCUCUCCUCACUCUCUUACAGGAUUUUCCUAAAGACUGCUCCCUCAUUAAAUCCUGUGCACAUGAAUCCACUUUCUAGGGAAAUAGGCUAAGACAUGACUAAUUGUUGUGUAAUUACUUACGAAACUUUUCUUAGCGUGAUAAUGGAUGGGGCUAGUUAUUGUUUGGUGGGGAAGAGUUAACACAUGUGGGAAUACCCAUAGGAGUCUUAUCAAAAGGGCAUCAAACAACAUUGUGUGCUCUUGCACUGCUAAAAUAAAGGUUGAAAACUGGUGGAUCACAUGAUCCCUAGUGACUCUUCUAAAAUUUAUGUCAUCAUAAUUCCUGACAGUGAAUAAGAGAUACUUAUUGUACAAUUUUGUGAUAGGAAGUUCCAAGAGAGGCAAGUACUCAUGUUUACUAACAAAAUAAUUCAUUGAACAAAUGUUUACUGCUCCUCUAUGUUCUAGGCACUGGGACCUCUAUGGUAAACUCUACAGGCAAAGCCUCUACCCUCAAGGAACUUCCAUCUUGAUGACAGAGACUGGCAAUAAACAGAUGAAUACAUGUAAUCUGAUAUAGAGAGGGCAUCAAGUCUCAGACAUCCAGACUGAGACAUGGCAAGUAUCCUUGAGACCACAUUCUAU